rnacentral:rRNA from 1 species
GACGAACGCUGGCGGCGUGCUUAACACAUGCAAGUCGAGCGGAGCGGCGAACGGGUGAGUAACGCGUGAGUAACUGCCCCCCUCUCUGGGAUAACAGUUGGAAAAGGCUGCUAAUACCGGAUAGUGGGGGAUGACUCGCGUCCUAUCAGCUUGUUGGUUGGGUAGUGGCCUACCAGAGCGACGACGGGUAGCCGGCCUGAGAGGGCGACCGGCCGCAUUGGGCUGAGAUACGGACCAAGCGCCUACGGGGGGCAACAGGCGGGAAUAUUGCACAAUGGGGCAAACCCUGAAGCAGAAACGCCGCGUGCGGGAUGACGGCCUUCGGGUUGAAAACCGCUUUCAGCCAUGACGCGGUAGUGGCAGAAGAAGCACCGGCUAACUACGUGCCAGCAGCCGCGGUAAUUC